ACGGAAACAUCAUAUACAAAAGCAAACAAAUCUCUGUGCAUUAUUAUAUAUGUGUAUAUAUAUUAUCAAAUUGCUUCCUUUCCUUUAACGUCUCUGCAAACCCACUGUACCCGGACUAAAUUAAAUCAGAAUGACCUAGAAAAUGGACAGGCAGAUAUAAUUGAUAAAUGUAGAUUCAAUUUUUCUUUUCUCUAAUGUUAAAAAAACAAAAAAAAUCAAAAAGUGACCCAACAAAAAUUAUCCACUAAUUAAGCUAAAUAUACCCACCCAUAAAGGUGGACAUCCAAGAUUUUAACUCAGAACUCAGUACUAAAACCCCGUCCCUUCAGUUUCGUAUUCAUUCAUUUCAUUGCCCUUUCAGGUUUUGAGUCAGUGGGUAUUUUGGAUAGAAAGGUUUUCUUUGAUCUUGGAUCUCUCUUUGUUUCACCGCAACUGGAAUUUGCUUUAAAGGUGGAAAUUUCUGGCUUUUUGGUGGAGAUUAGAUUGUAGAUUGUGAAUUUGGAGCUAAAGAAACUUAAAGGCGAAGCAUAGAUGAGAUUCUGGAUUUUAGCUGUGAAAUCUAGCUUAGGAUCUUGAAAAUGCUUCAAUUCUAAGAAAGUGAAGAUGGGAUUUGCUCUUUGCAUAUUAGCUUUAAAUUAAUAAAUAACAUCAUGUGCUGAACUUCCCUGUAAAUCGGUUGUAUACAUGUAUAUUUGAAGAUGAGAAAUGUGAAUUGCAGAAAUGCACUUAUUUCUUGCCGUGCAAA